rnacentral:lncRNA from 1 species
GGGGGGCGCGGACACGCGUGGUGUGCGCGGUCCCGGUGCAGCCUGCUCUGCUUCGGGCCGCAGGGGACCCCAGCCGGGUCCCACUGCUCCCAUCCUAGCGGAUGGGCCCCGGCCUCACUCUCUCGCGCCGAGCCCCCUUCUUGCCGGGAAGUUCGUCCGAGAGUCUAAUCUCGGUGCCUUCCAGCUGCGCCACAGAGGCGGGGUCGGAGUAGGAGGCGGCCCUGAAAUGGGGAAGCUGGGCGCGCCCACUCCCCAACCAGCUGCAGAAAUGCUUCCACCUGCUCCCCUGAGCGACCCCAGCUGAGAGACCGAACCCCCGUACCCCAGCCGCGCUCACCACCCCCACCCUCUGGCCUGAGCUGCUUUGAUCUGAGGG